ACAAUCGUUAAACGGCCGCGGUAUCUUGACCGUGCAAAGGUAGCAUAAUCACUUGUUCUCUAAAUAAGGACUUGUAUGAAUGGCCACACGAGGGUUUUACUGUCUCUUACUCUUAAUCAGUGAAAUUGACCUCCCCGUGAAGAGGCGGGGAUAAUACAAUAAGACGAGAAGACCCUAUGGAGCUUUAAUUAAUCAACUCAAAAAGCAUAAAAUAAUACCACCAAGGGAUAACAAAGCUUUAGAUGAGCUGACAAUUUYGGUUGGGGUGACCUYGGAGUAUAAAAAACCCUCCGAGUGAUUAAAACUUAGGCCUACUAGCCAAAGUAUAGUAUCACUUAUUGAUCCAAAAUUUUGAUCAACGGAACAAGUUACCCUAGGGAUAACAGCGCAAUCCUAUUCUAGAGUCCAUAUCGACAAUAGGGUUUACGACCUCGAUGUUGGAUCAGGACAUCCUAAUGGUGCAGCAG
rnacentral:rRNA from 1 species